UACGAAGGGGGCUAGCGUUGCUCGGAAUCACUGGGCGUAAAGCGCACGUAGGCGGCUUUCUAAGUCAGGGGUGAAAUCCUGGAGCUCAACUCCAGAACUGCCUUUGAUACUGGAGAGCUCGAGUCCGGAAGAGGUGAGUGGAACUGCGAGUGUAGAGGUGAAAUUCGUAGAUAUUCGCAAGAACACCAGUGGCGAAGGCGGCUCACUGGUCCGGUACUGACGCUGAGGCAUGAAAGCGUGGGGAGCAAACAGG
rnacentral:rRNA from 1 species